rnacentral:precursor_RNA from 15 species
UUUCGGUUUUUUUUUUUCUUUUGGAAUUCAGAUAUUUUUCCAUUCGUUUUGGUGGGUGACAGCUGUUUGUUGGUUUGAAGAACGCCAAAGCAGUGGGAAAAUCUCUGAAUAUUGAAAGCGACAAGCGGCAAGCUCCC